GACGAACGCUGGCGGCGUGCUUAACACAUGCAAGUCGAGCGGUAAGGCCCUUUCGGGGGUACACGAGCGGCGAACGGGUGAGUAACACGUGGGUGACCUGCCCUCAGCUCUGGGAUAAGCCUGGAAACCGGGUCUAAUACUGGAUAUGACUCCAUGACGCAUGUUGUGGGGUGGAAAGCCUUGUGCGGCUGAGGAUGGGCCCG
rnacentral:rRNA from 1 species